AGUCGCAGUGCACGCUCUGCGGGGAGCCGGAAGAUACAGACAGCCCAACUAAAUCCUUGAAAUGCAGCGUGGCGUGAAAAUGGAGCGGCAUUUUAGUUAACGAGGGUCUGGAUGCCAUUCACAGGAAUGCAGUUUCUACAGGGUUCUGCUUUGCAGAGACCUCUCCUGAUAAUAAUAAUAAAUUUACUCAGAACAA
rnacentral:misc_RNA from 1 species